UGUUUAAGCCACUAGGUUUAGGGAAACUUUUUAUAGCAAUGAUAGGCUAUUAACACAAAAUCUCAAUGUCUACCUUUCCUCUGUUCUCACAGAGCUUGCUUUCUGCCUUUGAAGAUUAUCUGUUGGGCUUCCAUGAUAAAUAGUCAAGAAAAGUGGAGGGAGAGUAAGAAAAAGCUUGUGGGAUGCACCAAGCAAGGAAUUUGGGGAAAAGUGGUGACAGCGUGUGUGAAAAGUUGCAAAAACAAGAUGCAAGAGGAAUGGAACAGAGUGAAAAAAGAUACUCUGAAGAUAAGUAGAAGGAUGCUUUCCUGUGGAGAGUGAUUCAACUUGAUGUGCCCAGAGCCUAAAUAACUUCAGAUGUGGACCCCAACUAUCCCCUGCCAACUCUUCAUUUUGUAUAACAUGGAAAAUAAUCUUAAUGAGUCACAAGAAACAUAGGAUUGAAGCAAAUAAUAUCACAGAAGAAG